rnacentral:rRNA from 1 species
UACGUAGGGCGCAAGCGUUAUCCGGAAUUAUUGGGCGUAAAGAGCUCGUAGGCGGUUUGUCGCGUCUGCCGUGAAAGUCCGGGGCUCAACUCCGGAUCUGCGGUGGGUACGGGCAGACUAGAGUGAUGUAGGGGAGACUGGAAUUCCUGGUGUAGCGGUGAAAUGCGUAGAUAUCAGGAGGAACACCGGUGGUGUAAACGGCUCUCUGGACCGUAACUGACGCUGAGGCACGAAAGCGUGGGUAGCAAACAGG